rnacentral:rRNA from 1 species
UGGGGAAUUUUGGACAAUGGGCGCAAGCCUGAUCCAGCCAUGCCGCGUGCGGGAAGAAGGCCUUCGGGUUGUAAACCGCUUUUGUCAGGGAAGAAAUCUUCUGAGUUAAUACCUCGGGAGGAUGACGGUACCUGAAGAAUAAGCACCGGCUAACUACGUGCCAGCAGCCGCGGUAAUACGUAGGGUGCAAGCGUUAAUCGGAAUUACUGGGCGUAAAGCGUGCGCAGGCGGUUUUGUAAGACAGAGGUGAAAUCCCCGGGCUCAACCUGGGAACUGCCUUUGUGACUGCAAGGCUUGAGUGCGGCAGAGGGGGGAUGGAAUUCCGCGUGUAGCGUGAAAUGCGUAGAUAUGCGGAGGAACACCGAUGGCGAAGGCAAUCCCCUGGGCCUGCACUGACGCUCAUGCACGAAAGCGUGGGGAGCAAACAGGAUUAGAUACCCUGGUAGUCCACGCCCUAAACGAUGUCAACUGGUUGUUGGGAAGGUUCCUUCUCAGUAACGUAGCUAACGCGUGAAGUUGACCGCCUGGGGAGUACGGCCGC